GACGAACGCUGGCGGCGUGCCUAAUACAUGCAAGUGGGACGCAAGGGAACACACUGUGCUUGCACACCGUGUUUUCUUGAGUCGCGAACGGGUGAGUAACGCGUAGGUAACCUGCCUAUUAGCGGGGGAUAACUAUUGGAAACGAUAGCUAAUACCGCAUAAUAUUAAUUAUUGCAUGAUAAUUGAUUGAAAGAUGCAAGCGCAUCACUAGUAGAUGGACCUGCGUUGUAUAGCUAGUUGGUAAGGUAAGAGCUUACCAAGGCGACGAUACAUAGCCGACCUGAGAGGGUGAUCGGCCACACUGGGACUGAGACACGGCCCAGACUCCUACGGGAGGCAGCAGUAGGGAAUCUUCGGCAAUGGACGAAAGUCUGACCGAGCAACGCCGCGUGAGUGAAGAAGGUUUUCGGAUCGUAAAGCUCUGUUGUAAGUCAAGAACGUGUGUGAGAGUGGAAAGUUCACACAGUGACGGUAGCUUACCAGAAAGGGACGGCU
rnacentral:rRNA from 1 species